rnacentral:lncRNA from 7 species
UGUUUUUUAUUUUCCUAUUUUAUUUCCUGUUUUGAAUAUUCAAAUUAAAUUUUAAAUCUGAGCUUAACAAUUCACAUUCAACAAAUAUAGAGUACCAGCAUGUAUGUAAAGUAUUUUAUUAUUCAUUCAAAUAAAUGAUUCAAUAUGCAAUGCACACACAACAAUUUGUAUUUGAAGGGAAUAUAGUGUAUUCAAAAAUUCAAUAUUUUAUCACUUAUUUAAAGGGAAAUAACUUUUAUUAAAAACCUUUAUCAAGAGGUCUUUUAAAUUAAUUCUUUUAAAGUAUAUGUUCAAACACAUAAUUCAUCAAGUUCUACAAGGAAUGUUUUAUUAAACC